GUGAAAACGGUUUUGUUAUCUUAAUGUAAUGGCGGAUACAUUUGAACCGAUACCCUGUUGCGCUCGGCUGAUGGUAGAGCAUGAAUGAUAUAAGGGCGCCAGGGCUAUGCGCGGAAAGUACUCUCAGGGUCGUGACGUUAACUAGCCCGUUCUGGUAAUUUGACCAUUAAAUUAUGAACAACGUGAGGUUGUCCGACUGAUCGUGUGAGAUGGAGGUGUGACCUGUCGCGGAGAUCUCUUACAGAAUUCGGAUACCUUAUUGACGGUUUACUUCGGAAGACGGUUGAAGACCUUGACGACUGGAGCUGCUGG